rnacentral:misc_RNA from 1 species
UACAGAGGUGGCUAGCGUUGUUCGGAUUCACUGGGCGUAAAGGGUUCGUAGGCGGCUCGGAAAGUUGGAUGUGAAAUCCCACGGCUUAACCGUGGAACUGCAUUCAAAACUCCCGAGCUCGAGUGUGAGAGGGGUAGAGGGAAUUCCCGGUGUAAGGGUGAAAUCUGCAGAGAUCGGGAAGAACACCAGUCGCGAAGGCGCUCUACUGGCUCAUUACUGACGCUGAGGGACGAAAGCUAGGGGAGCAAACGGG